AGCCCUGUAGCUCAACUCGCAGAGCGCCCGGCUUUGGCCCGGGAGGUUGAUGGUGCAAAUCCAUCCAGGGUUU
rnacentral:tRNA from 1 species